UCUAGUUCUUCUCUCGACAUUUGACACUUCAUCAGUCACAAGUAGUGAGAGAGAUUGACUUUCCAAAUUCCAGAACAGCCCCUGCCAUUGAAGACUGAUUAUGCUACACCAUUUUCUCUCUGCCUUCAUUUCCAUGCGUGCUAUUUUUUGUGGGUUUUCUUCUAUUUCUCUCUCUCAACCCCAUUUCCAUGCAUGUUAAUUUUUGUGGGUUUUCUCAUAACUUUUUCUCUCUCAUUCUUCAAUCUCAAAUUCAGGACGCCCCUCUCUAAAAGUAUGAUUUGGGGCCAAGACAACUCUUUUCUCUCUGACUAGCCCCACAAAAGGUAUGAUUUUGAUUCUCUCUCUAGCUUCAAACGCAAAGUACUUUUUUUUUUGACAAGAGUAAUGAAUAUUAUUAGAUCA
rnacentral:lncRNA from 1 species